GAUGAAGAACGUAGCGAAAUGCGAUACUUGGUGUGAAUUGCAGAAUCCCGUGAACCAUCGAGUCUUUGAACGCAAGUUGCGCCCGAAGCCAUCAGGUUGAGGGCACGUCUGCCUGGGCGUCACAUAUCGUUGCCCAAUGCCUAUUGCAGUGCAAUAGGAAUUUCUAGGGCGAAUGAUGGCUUCCCGUGAGCGUUGUUGCCUCGCGGUUGGUUGAAAAUCGAGUCCUUGGUAGGGUGUGCCAUGGUAGAUGGUGGUCGAGUUAGAACGAUACCGAUCAUGUGCAUGCUCCCCAAAAUAUGGCCUCUAUGACCCACACGCGUCUUUUGACGCUCAUGACGUGACCUCAGGUCAGGCGGGGCUACCCGCUGAAUUUAAGCAUAUCAUAAGCGGAGGA
rnacentral:misc_RNA from 1 species